CACGUAGGGUGCGAGCGUUGUCCGGAUUUAUUGGGCGUAAAGGGCCCGUAGGCGGUUUGGUAAGUCGGGUGUGAAAACUCUGGGCUCAACCCAGAGACGCCACCCGAUACUGCUAUGACUUGAGUCUGGUAGGGGAGUGCGGAAUUCCUGGUGUAGCGGUGAAAUGCGCAGAUAUCAGGAGGAACACCGGUGGCGAAGGCGGCACUCUGGGCCAGUACUGACGCUGAUGGGCGAAAGCGUGGGGA
rnacentral:rRNA from 1 species